AUAUGCCCCAAUGUAUAAGCU
rnacentral:miRNA from 1 species